rnacentral:tRNA from 1 species
CCUGUUGAGUUUUAUUGUUAAAAAUAAAGAGUUUAAAAUUCUUAGUGACCAGGGUUCCAACCCCUCAGCAGCA